rnacentral:rRNA from 1 species
GACGAACGCUGGCGGCGUGCUUAACACAUGCAAGUCGAACGGAAAGGCUCAGCUUGCUGGGUGCUCGAGUGGCGAACGGGUGAGUAACACGUGGGUGAUCUGCCUCUAACUUCGGGAUAAGCUUGGUAAACUGGGUCUAAUACCGGAUAGGACAAUCGUUUAGUGUCGGUUGUGGAAAGUUUUUUCGGUUAGGGAUGAGCCCGCGGCCUAUCAGCUUGUUGGUGGGGUAAUGGCCUACCAAGGCGUCGACGGGUAGCCGGCCUGAGAGGGUGGACGGCCACAUUGGGACUGAGAUACGGCCCAGACUCCUACGGGAGGCAGCAGUGGGGAAUAUUGCACAAUGGGCGCAAGCCUGAUGCAGCGACGCCGCGUGGGGGAUGACGGCCUUCGGGUUGUAAACCUCUUUCGACAGGGACGAAGCUUUGGUGACGGUACCUGUAGAAGAAGCACCGGCUAACUACGUG